rnacentral:rRNA from 1 species
UACGUAGGGGGCAAGCGUUAUCCAGAUUUACUGGGCGUAAAGCGCGUGUAGGCGGCUGGUUAGGCGUGAUGUGAAAUCUUCCGGCUCAACCGGAAAACUGCAUUGCGAACCGGCCUGGCUAGAGUGCAGGAGAGGGAAGCGGAAUUCCAGGUGUAGCGGUGAAAUGCGUAGAUAUCGGGAGGAACACCAGUGGCGAAGGCGGCUGCCUGGGGCUUUGCUGACGCUGAUGCGCGAAAGCGUGGGGAGCGAUCCGG